GACGAACGCUGGCGGCGUGCCUAACACAUGCAAGUCGAGCGAGGAGAGUUCCUUCGGGAAUAAACCUAGCGGCGGACGGGUGAGUAACACGUGGGCAACCUGCCUUGUAGAGGGGGGAAUAGCCUUCCGAAAAGGAAGAUUAAUACCGCAUAACAUUACAGUUUCGCAUGAAACAGUAAUUAAAGGAGUAAUCCGCUACAAGAUGGGCCCACGGCGCAUUAGCUAGUUGGUGAGGUAACGGCUCACCAAGGCGACGAUGCGUAGCCGACCUGAGAGGGUGAUCGGCCACAUUGGGACUGAGACACGGCCCAGACUCCUACGGGGGGCAGCAGUGGGGAAUAUUGCACAAUGGGGGAAACCCUGAGGCAGCAACGCCGCGUGAGUGAUGAAGGUUUUCGGAUCGUAAAGCUCUGUCUUCGGGGACGAUAAUGACGGUACCCGAGGAGGAAGCCACGGCUAACUACGUG
rnacentral:rRNA from 1 species